UUCUCAGUUGCUAAAAUGACCAGGAGGAUUGGGGGUGGGGGAGCGGGCAAGUUGGACCAAAUAGCCAGUACCUCCUGGUGGGCGGCGUGAGGUCCUGUUCUUCCCUCCUGAGAACUUCUCCAGCCCCUUUCCUGUAAGGAGCUCAGAAAACUCCCCUCACAGGCUCCCAACACGAUUCACACCAUCGUAGGGAGCUUUCUGCUUCUCAAAGCUCUGCUCAUCUGUCAUCUCACUCCUCUAAGACCACACUGCCCUCCAGAAACGAUGGGUGUCGCUGGACCCAGCUGGGACUCUGCCAGGCUCCAGAGCUCAGUCUAAGAGAAGGGCCAUCUUCCAGCCCUGCUCCCCCUGCCUGUCAUGGCCACGCUCCGCUGCUGCCUGCUUGCUUGGGAACACAGGGCACCCAGCCCCAGCCCUGAGAGGUUAAGCCUGGCCUUCUGGCUCCAUGUCACGGGGGCACUCCAGGCCUCAGGCCCCUUUCAGAGCAAGAGCAACUGAUGACAUGGGAGAAGCCCCUGCCCACCUGUCCAGUCACCUGGCACUGCCCACUCUGAGACCCAUGCACUGGGUUCCGCUGGAGGUGCCAACCCUGUGAGUCCCUCCCCUGUUCCCUGACGCUGAGAAGGCCCUGCCUACCCCCACCAUGUGUGAAGUGAUGCCCACAAUCAAUGAGGGGGACCCCCUGGGGCCCCCCCAUGGCGCCGAUGCCGACGCCAACUUUGAGCAGCUGAUGGUGAACAUGCUGGAUGAGCGGGAGAAGUUGCUGGAGUCCCUUCGGGAGAGUCAAGAGACCUUGGCAGCCACACAGAGCCGGCUCCAGGAUGCCCUGCAUGAGCGGGACCAGCUCCAGCGCCACCUUAACUCCGCCCUCCCCCAGGAAUUUGCCACCUUAACCCGGGAGCUGAGCAUGUGUCGGGAGCAGCUUCUAGAGCGGGAGGAAGAGAUAUCAGAGCUGAAAGCAGAACGGAAUAACACGAGGCUGCUUCUGGAACAUCUGGAGUGCCUGGUGUCCCGCCACGAACGGUCGCUGCGGAUGACUGUAGUGAAGCGCCAGGCCCAGUCGCCCUCAGGGGUCUCCAGUGAGGUGGAGGUGCUGAAGGCCCUCAAGUCCCUGUUUGAGCACCACAAGGCCCUGGAUGAGAAGGUGCGAGAGCGGCUCCGGGCAGCGCUGGAGCGAGUCACCACCUUGGAGGAGCAGCUGGCAGGUGCCCACCAGCAGGUGUCUGCCUUGCAGCAGGGGGCAGGGGUGCGGGAAGGAGCGGCAGAAGAGGAGGGGACUGUGGAGCUGGGGCCGAAACGCCUGUGGAAGGACGAGGCGGGCCGGGUGGAGGAACUGCAGGAGCUCCUGGAGAAGCAGAACUUUGAGUUGAGCCAGGCCCGGGAACGACUGGUCACCGUGACAGCAACUGUGGCCGAACUUGAGGAGGACCUGGGCACGGCCCGCCGGGACCUCAUCAAGUCGGAGGAGCUGAGCAGCAAGCAUCAGCGGGAUCUCCGGGAGGCUCUGGCCCAGAAGGAUGAUAUGGAGGAGCGAAUCACCACACUGGAGAAGCGCUACCUGGCCGCUCAGCGUGAGGCCACAUCCAUCCAUGACCUCAAUGACAAACUGGAGAAUGAGCUGGCCAACAAGGAGUCCCUGCACCGCCAGUGUGAGGAGAAGGCCCGACACCUGCAGGAGCUGCUGGAGGUGGCAGAGCAGAAGCUGCAGCAGACGAUGCGCAGGGCAGAGACGCUGCCGGAGGUGGAGGCUGAGCUAGCCCAGAGAAUCGCAGCCCUCACCAAGGCUGAAGAACGGCAUGGCAACAUUGAGGAGCACCUGCGGCAGCUGGAGGGGCAGUUGGAGGAGAAGAACCAGGAGCUGGCAAGGGUGCGCCAGCGGGAGAAGAUGAACGAGGACCACAACAAGCGGCUGUCAGACACCGUGGACCGGCUGCUUAGUGAAUCCAACGAGCGCCUGCAGCUCCACCUCAAGGAGCGCAUGGCCGCCCUGGAGGAGAAGAACACGCUGAUGCAGGAGCUAGAGAGCUCGCAGCGGCAGAUCGAGGAGCAGCACCACCACAAGGGCCGCCUGUCUGAAGAGAUUGAGAAGCUGCGCCAAGAGGUGGACCAGCUGAAGGGCCGAGGGGGGCCGUUUGUGGAUGGCAUCCACGCCAGGUCACACAUGGGCAGUGCAGCGGACGUGCGGUUCUCCCUGAGCACAGCCACCCACGCAGCCCCAGCUCUGCAUCGCCGCUACUCGGCACUGAGGGAAGAGCCUGCCAAGGACUGGGAGCCGUCUCCACUGCCUGGGGUGCUGGCCUCCACGGCUGCCCCUGCCUUUGACAGUGACCCUGAGAUCUCUGACGUGGAUGAGGAUGAGCCAGGGGGUCUGGUGAGCUCCGUGGAUGUCGCCUCCCCCAGUGGCCACUCAGAUGCCCAGACCCUGGCCAUGAUGCUACAGGAGCAGCUGGAUGCCAUCAACGAGGAGAUCAGGAUGAUUCAGGAAGAGAAGGAGUCCACGGAGCUCCGCGCUGAGGAGAUUGAGACGCGCGUGACCAGCGGCAGCAUGGAGGCCCUAAACCUGACACAGCUGCGCAAGCGCAGUUCCAUCCCCACCUCCCUGACCGCUCUGUCGCUGGCCAGCGCGUCCCCCCCACUCAGCGGCCGCUCCACACCUAAGCUUACCUCCCGCAGCGCUGCCCAGGACCUGGACCGAAUGGGGGUCAUGACCCUGCCCAGUGACUUGAGAAAGCAUAGGAGGAAGCUGCUGUCGCCAGUGUCUCGGGAAGAGAACCGAGAGGAUAAAGCCACCAUAAAAUGUGAGACUUCUCCUCCUUCCUCACCCAGGACGCUGCGGCUAGAGAAGCUUGGCCACCCAGCCCUGAGCCAGGAGGAAGGCAAGAGUGCCUUGGAGGAUCAGGGCAGCAACCCCAGCAGCAGCAACAGCAGCCAGGACUCCUUGCACAAGGGCGCCAAGCGCAAGGGCAUCAAGUCGUCCAUUGGCCGCCUGUUUGGGAAGAAGGAGAAGGGCAGGCUGAUCCAGCUGAGUCGGGAUGGUGCCACGGGCCAUGUUCUGCUAACAGACUCCGAGCUCAGUCUGCAGGAGCCCAUGGUGCCUGCCAAACUGGGGACCCAGGCAGAGAAGGACCGGCGGUUGAAGAAGAAGCACCAGCUGCUUGAAGAUGCCCGCAGGAAAGGAAUGCCCUUUGCCCAGUGGGAUGGCCCCACUGUGGUCUCCUGGCUGGAGCUCUGGGUGGGGAUGCCUGCCUGGUACGUGGCAGCCUGCCGGGCCAACGUCAAGAGUGGUGCCAUCAUGUCUGCCCUGUCGGACACAGAGAUCCAGCGGGAAAUUGGCAUCAGCAAUGCCCUGCACCGGCUCAAGCUCCGGCUGGCCAUCCAGGAGAUGGUGUCGCUGACUAGCCCCUCCGCCCCGCCCACCUCCAGGACCUCUUCUGGGAACGUCUGGGUCACCCAUGAAGAGAUGGAAACUCUGGCAACGUCUACUAAAACAGACAGUGAGGAGGGCAGCUGGGCUCAGACCCUGGCUUAUGGGGACAUGAACCACGAGUGGAUCGGGAACGAAUGGCUGCCCAGCCUGGGGCUGCCGCAGUACCGCAGCUACUUCAUGGAGUGCCUGGUGGACGCUCGCAUGCUGGAUCACCUCACCAAGAAGGACCUGCGCGUCCACCUGAAGAUGGUGGACAGCUUCCAUCGAUCCAGCCUUCAGUAUGGCAUCAUGUGUCUGAAGAGGCUGAAUUAUGACCGGAAGGAGCUGGAGAAGAGGCGGGAGGAGAGCCAGCACGAGAUCAAGGAUGUGCUGGUGUGGACCAAUGACCAGGUGGUUCAUUGGGUCCAGUCCAUUGGGCUCCGGGACUACGCAGGAAACCUGCACGAGAGUGGAGUGCAUGGUGCCUUGCUGGCCCUGGACGAGAACUUUGACCACAAUACGCUGGCCCUGGUCCUCCAGAUCCCCACACAGAACACCCAGGCACGCCAAGUGAUGGAGAGGGAGUUCAAUAACCUGUUGGCUUUGGGCACAGACCGGAAGCUAGAUGACGGGGACGACAAGGUGUUCCGCCGCGCGCCCUCCUGGAGGAAACGCUUCCGGCCGCGAGACCACCACGGCAUGCUCAGCGCCUCCUCGGAGACCCUCCCGGCGGGCUUCCGCGUGUCCACGCUGGGGCCCCUGCAGCCCCCGCCGGCCCCGCCGAAGAAGAUCAUGCCGGAAGCGGGGACGGCGGGGGCACAGAGACUGGAGACCUCCACGGUUCGGACCUACUCCUGCUGACCCCCCACCCUCGCGCCCCGGGUCUGACGGGGGUGUGCCCGUGGCUCGGGCUCACUCCCACUAUCUCUACGGACACAUGCUCUCGGCCUUCCGGGACUAGCCACAGGGCCGGCCUCCUCCUCCUGGGUUUCACAGCCUCCACCGGCCCUGACCCCUCCUGCUCGGUCCCCUUCCUCCCACAGCUCCUCGUCUCCUCCGUGACUUUCCAGUUGCCCCGGAUCUCGGCAUAUACUCGUCCACCCCCCUGGCACCCCACUACCCUGAGUCCCACAGUAUUUCCUUUGUAAGUCUCUGGUGGGGUGUGGCUGGGGUCCCCUGGUGCUGCGGAGGCCCUGGUUGUCCGUGCAUGGGAUUCUAGGGGAGCGGGAGGAGGGCUGCCCAGGGUGGGUGUGCAUUCCACCCUCCCUCUCUGGACCUUGCCUGGUCUGGACUGCAGCUUCCACCAGGACGAGGAUCCUGGGCCAAGGGCUGGGCUGGCCCUUCCAGGAAAGGGUCACUUCAGACUCUGCCCUGCUUGGGCUAUUCGGCCUGGAGUCCCUGUCCACUGCUGGCUUUGCCAGGUGGUCUCACUGCUGGUGUUGGCACCCGUAGCAUCACCCCUUCCCCAGUCCGGCACCAGGACUGCCGUUCCUGCCUCAGCACCUGCUUGGGGGCCGGUGGGGGGCUGCAGAAGGCCCUGUUCUCUCCCUCAGGAUGGUAGGGCCGGGAGGAAGAAGGCUGAGGUAGAAUUUCCAGGGCCUGGCUUAAGCUGAAUCUCACAUGUGAGUUUGGGAAGAAUCAGAGAGAAAGGGACCCCUGAGCUUUGGGCAAAGAGUGAGGAUGGAGAAGCUGUCAGCCCCCUGCCCAGUGAGAGGUGUAGGAAGGCCAGCCUGAGGGAGAGCUGGUGGCCUUUGGUAGCCUUGAGCCAACAGGGCAAUGGGAAUGCCCCCUGGCGGGCUGGGAGGAGGGGGUUGUGGGGCUCAGGCUCUGGGGCAGAGCAGAUGCAGCCCUGCACUGCUGACUCUGCUCCCCGCAUCCCUACCCUGGCUCUCUCCCUCUGUCUCUCUUCUCUAGUAAUUCCAGCCCCAUAACAAUGAACCUGAGGGGUGGAUUGAAUAUACAUUGACCCUAAAAUCAUGUUAGGGGAAAAGGUAGAAUGAGGCUUCCUUUCUCUGAAAGGAAGAAAAUAAAGCUUCCCCUCCAGUAAAUCAUGUCCCAGGUCUGGGAAAUCUAAUGUUGACAAAGGCUGUCACUCUCGCCUGUCCCCAAAUCACCCAGCCCUCAUUCAGUGCUCUUUUGGAGUGCAAGGACUUCCUCCAGAAAUGCCUGAGAUCCACCAGCUCCCACCAUUUUAAUUGUAUUCUCCAGUAGCGUGGUGGGAACCAGGGCUGAGGGAUUCCGCGCCCGGGAACUCCCUCUUCCUCACCCGUCCCUUCAUUCUACAGCGGUGCCCGAAAGUGUUCCGGACUCAUGGGUGGGAUGAUAGAACCUAGGGCUUCGUUGCAACGAGAGGAAGGGAAGGGUGCCUGGACGAGCAUGCUCCUUGGACAGGGGCCAGGGCAGCGCCAUCCUGCAGGCGGCUGGAGCAGCUGCUUUGCAACCUGGUCUGCCCGGGCUCUGAGCAGGGGCCGGACGAGCAGGCGGGGACAUGGGCCAGAGCGCCCCUGUCCCGAAGGGGUGAUGGAGCCGGGGGCAGCGCCAGGGCCGAAGCCUUCUGCCACUUCGCAGAAGAGGAGAGGGUCACCAGUGGUGUGGGGUGGGUGCUGCCUAGGGUUGGGCAAGGCAGCCACCUGCCCUUGCUCCCCCUCACUGUCCCCUGGCCUCCCUGCCCACCAGGCUGCUUGAGCUGGAGGAGUUAUUGAACAGAAAAUGGGUCGGAUGGGCAGGAAGAGCCCCCAUCCCUGGGUAACGGGUGCUAAGAUUAUGGAGGAACCCCAGAUUCCUCAGAUGGGUGGAGUUGAGCACUCCAAGCCCAUCUGCUUCCCGGUCGAUGGCCUGGCUGUGUGGGAGAUCCAGCCCCAGCCUCUCCUCCCUACAGCGUGACCCCGUCAUGGCUCGAAUGUCCUAAGGCAGCAGCUGGGGAGAGCCGUGUCCAUUCAGGGCACCUUGGGAAGUAUCGCAGCGAGGGGAUGGAGAAGUAUUUGCAGACAGUGGUGGUGUCUUGGUGUAUCUCUUGCCUCAUAGUCAAUAUAUUUUUUUUCUUUGGAGAGUCACCAGUCACCCGAGCCCUCCUCACCAGCCUCCUGUGUCUCGUCAGGUCCCUUCUCAGUACUGUACUGGCCCAGUGCACCAGGAGUGGGUGUGCGGGUGUGUGCGGGUGUGAGCGUGGGUGUGUACACACCAAUAAACAACCUGGUUUUAAGACAA